ensembl:misc_RNA Metazoa_SRP Metazoan signal recognition particle RNA
GCCGGGUGUGGUGGCUCACGCCUGUAAUCCCAGCACUUUGGAAGGCUGAGGUGGGUGGAUCACCUGAGGUCAGGAGUUCGAGACCAGCCUGACCAACAUGGUGAAACCCCGUCUCUA